ACAAGCUCUCUCACAGGUCACCGGCCUUGGGGACGAAGCCAUGGCGGGAUGGCUCUGCCUGCGACUGGAGACUGCACAGGGCUCAGGGCAAGAGAGCCAGUGGCAGGAAAGGAAAGGCCCCGUUGACUCACUCGCUGGGCAGCCAAGUGCUUAGUAACAAACAGUAAACAGAGGCGGCAGCGCCCGUGGCCGUGGCAGCUCAGCAGAGAGGUGAACGAGAUCCCUGCUCGUUGUUGGAAAAUUGUGUGAUGGAGGCCUAGACCCGAUCACGAUCACAGAGAAUUUCACAUGCAACCUCUGACUCAGAACACAGAUUAGAGCUGAAAUGGACGAAGUAAUCAAUUCAGCAAGCACUUACCACCUAUCUCCUGGCUGCCAAGCCAAGUGCUAAGCACUGGGGACACCUCUCUCUGCUCAGAGGCUCUUCCGGGUGAGCGCAGGAGCCAAAAGAGGCAUGAGCCCGGCCUCUGUGACCCUGGCCAGCGCCCUGCAGGUCAGGGGCGAAGCUCUGUCGGAGGAGGAAAUCUGGUCCCUCUUGUACCUAGCUGCGGAGCGGCUCCUGGAAGACAUUCGUGAAGAUUCCUCGGACUAUGUGGUCUGUCCCUGGUCAGCCCUGCUGUCUGCAGCCGGAAGUCUUUCUUUCCAGAACCACAUUUCUCACAUAGAGGCUGCUCCUUUCAAGGCCCCCGAACUGCUACAGGAACAGAGUGACGAUGAACAGCCCGCCGCAUCUCAGGUGCACGUCUAUUCUUUAGGAAUGACCCUCUACUGGUCAGCAGGCUUUCAUGUCCCACAAAAUCAGCCUCUGCAGCUCCGUGAGCCCUUGAGCUCCAUUCUGCUGACCAUGUGUGAAGACCAGCCUCGCAGGCGGCUCCCCUUGCAGUCAGUUCUGGAAGCUUGUCGGGUUCAUUGGGAAGAAGUGGCCGUAUACCCAACCUCUGCCGGUCUCCACGUUAGACGGCUGGCUGGCUUGGUUCUGGGCACCAUCUCGGAGGUGGAGAGGAGACUCAUGGAAGAAAGCUCCUUGGCGCAGCAGGACAGAAGCUGCCUGCUCAGGCAUAGGCUGCAUCAGGCGAGCUGCGAGAACACAACAGUAUGGGCCCUGGAGCGUCUGCACCCCUGCAGAGUUUCAGAGAGAAGCACAGAGACCCAGAGCUCCCUGGAGCCCGGUCUGAGCACCUCAGCACCCAGUCACCAUAGCCUCUCUGUUAGCAGUGCUCUUCCAAUUGAAGUUCCCCCAAAUCUUCAGGAGGGACCGCGGCUCAGCUCCAGCACCGCUCUGUCUGUGGCAGCAGAAAUCUCACAGCCGGCAACUCCUUCUCAAAGGGCUUUUCUGCAAAGGAAAGGAAAGUUCUCCAGGCCGGAGUUCGUCUUGCUGGCUGGAGAGGCCCCAGUGACUGUGCACCUGCCUGGAUCAAUUGUGACCAAAAAAGGGAAGUCCUAUUUGGCUCUCAGGGCCCUCUGCGUGGUGCUGUUGAGUGGGCAGUGUCUGGAGGUGAAAUGUGACAUUAUGUCAACGGCAGGAGCUGUCUUCAGUGCUGUCAUGUCUUUUGUCAACCUUGGGGAGCUCGCCUACUUUGGCUUGGCUUACAUGAAAGACAAAGAGUUCUUUUUCUUGGACGAUGAAACCAGGCUGUGCAAAAUAGCCCCUGAAGGCUGGAGUGAGCAGCCCCAGAAGAAGACCUCCUCAAAUACCUUCACACUCUUUCUGAGGAUAAAGUUCUUUGUCAGUUGCUGUGCACAGCUCCAGAACAGCCAGGCAAGGCACCAAUUUUAUCUGCAGCUUCGGAAAGACAUCCUGGAGGAGAAGCUGUACUGCAAUGAUGAGACGCUGCUGCAGCUGGCGGUCCUUGCCUUACAGGCUGAGUUUGGCAACUACCCCGAGGAGCAGAUAGAGAGUAAAGCUUAUUUUCGAGUUGAAGAUUACAUCCCAGCGAGUCUAAUUGAGAGGAUGACUGCUUUCCGGUUGCAAGUUGAAGUCUCGGAGAUGCACCGUCUCAGUCCUGUGCUCUGGGGAGAGGAUGCCGAGCUGGAGUUCUUGAGGGUCACCCAGAAACUCCCAGAAUAUGGUGUGCUGGUUCACCGAGUCCUCCCAGAGAAGAUGACACGAGAAAGGGAGAUGGCCUUGGGGAUCUGUGCCAAGGGCAUCAUAGUGUACGAAGUGAAAAACAACAGCAGAAUUGCAACUUUACGCUUUCAGUGGAGAGAAAUUGGCAAGAUUUCUACUUGUCGAAAGAAGUUCACCAUCACAAGUGGCAUCACUGGGAAAAAGCACACGUUUGUCACUGAUUCAGCCAAGACCUGUAAAUAUUUACUGGGACUCUGCUCUGCCCAGCAUGGAUUUAAUGCCCAGAUGAGCUUCCUGCCAGUUGCAGCUGUUUCAGACCAUGAUAAGUGUGUGCAAAUGGCCAAUACGAGUCUUGCACACCUGGCCCAGUCUCAGCCUCUCACUUGGAUUCAGCGGCUGUCGGACUCGGAAAACGCGCUGUUCACACCCGCACCCGGGCCAGAAGCCACUGCAGGGGGCCUGCGGCGCUUGUCUCUGGAUAACUUCACCUUGGAAACCAGCAAGGAGACUGCGGCACGGGGGAUCCGAGGCAGCCCCUGCAUGGGUCGGGAGCAGCUGGAGACCAUCUCUUUGAUCCAGAAGCCGACGACUCGUGACCGUCUCUCCGGGCCGCCUGUUCCCAGCGUGCACAGGGAGCCACAAAGUAACAGGAGAAAGAGCUUUAUAGCUGAGCCGGAACGAGAAAUCGUGCAUGUGACACUGCGCCGGGAUCCACGUCGCGGUUUUGGUUUUGUCAUCAAUGAGGGAGAAGAUGUUGGCAAAGUUGACCCUGGCAUCUUCAUAUCUUCUAUUAUACCUGGGGGACCAGCUGAAAAAGCUAAAAGGAUCAAACCAGGAGGGCAGAUUCUAGCCUUGAAUCACAUCAGUCUGGAGGGCUUCACGUUCGACAUGGCUGUUAGAAUGAUUCAGAAUUCUCCCGAGAGCAUAGAAUUAACCAUUUCUCAGUCAAAAGGUAUUUGUGGAAAUACCCCAAGUGAAGAAAAGAAUAGCCCAGCCAAUUCUGGGGUCUUCUCUACAGACAGCCCAAGCAACGGGCACCUGGGAAGUUUUUCAUCACGCACACAGGACCAGGAGAAAAAUACUGAAGAACUGGAAAUGGCUCAGACUCAGAGCUUACUGUCCAGGGGGCAGGAUGCUGGUACGUCUUGUCCUCCACCACCUUCAGAAAUCAAUGCCAGUGAAAUCUACUUUGUGGAACUGGUUAAAGAAGAUGGGACACUUGGAUUCAGCGUGACUGGUGGCAUUAACACAAGCGUGCCCUAUGGGGGUAUCUACGUGAAAUCCAUCGUUCCUGGAGGGCCAGCUGCCAAGGAAGGGCAGAUCCUGCGGGGUGACCGGCUCCUGCAGGUGGAUGGAGUGAGUCUGUGUGGCCUCACCCACAAGCAGGCUGUGCAGUGCCUCAAGGGUUCUGGGCAGGUUGCAAGACUGGUCUUAGAGAGAAGAGGCCCCAGGACCACACAGCAGUGUCCUUCUGUUAAUGGCAGGAUGGCAGACGGAUGCACGGCUGUUUCCUUGGCAACAGCCUUGCCCGACAGGCCUGCGAGCUGUGUCUCAGCGACAGAUGGUCCUAAGUUUGAAGUCACUCUGAAAAAGAAUGCCAGUGGCUUGGGAUUCAGCUUCAUGCAGAUGGAAAGAGAGAGCUGCAGCCAUCUCAAGAAUGAUCUGGUGAGAAUUAAGAGGCUUUUCCCAGGGCAGCCGGCUGAGGAGAACGGGGCCAUUGCAGUUGGUGACAUUAUCCUGGCGGUGAAUGGAAGGCCCACAGAAGGCCUCGUCUUCCAGGAGGUGCUCCAUUUACUGCGAGGGGCAUCACAGGAAGUCACGCUCCUACUUUGCCGACCCCCUCCAGGUGCACUGCCUGAGAUAGACCAGGGAUGGCAGACACCCGUGCUUUCAGCCGACAAAGAAUUCACCAGGGCAACUUGCACUGACUCUGAGCAGAGCCCGAGUCUGGAUCAAGAGGACAGCCGGAGGGACAGUGCCUCCCCAGACACAGGGGAAAGCUUGGGUCCCGGGCCCGAGUCUUUCCAAAAGGCCACUGGCAAGGCACAAUGGGACCAGGACAUAGAGAGACCCUGGGCCACUUCCUCGAUGCGUCCUCAGGAUUCCCCCCCUCAUUUAUGCAGACUUCAGCAAGAAAUGGAUGCAUCCACAUUGGCCACCUCUUUGGAAAGGGAUAUGAGGCAAAACUGCUAUUCGGUUUGUGAUAUCAGGGGACUUGAAAGUCCUGAAUUGGACAGGGAUGAUGAGGAAGGGGACAUGUGCCAUCUACCUGAAGCCACUUCUCCCACUGUGGAAAAUGAAGCCUAUCUUACCAUCAACUCUGCAUGGGAAGGCCAGCUACUCUGUGAAGAAUGUUUGGAGGAAGAUUCAGGGACCAUUCCCUUGCCACAGUUCUGUUCUUGGAGUGCCCUCUCGGAGUCUUUGCCUGCAGAAGAGGCUUGUGAGAGUGACAGUGAAUGGGAAGACCUGGAGGAGGCUGUGGACCCAGAAGAUGACACCCUCAGGAUGCCACCAGAAGUUGGGACUGGAUCAGAGAGCUGGAGGCAGAUUGUACCGAUGAAGACGAGGGAAGAGUAAAUGUGACAAAAAUCCUCUGACUAGGAGCAGAGAGGGUUAAACUCUUGACAGGUGAACAGAGAAAGUUGGACAGUCACCCAAGGCAGAACCCAAGGUUACUGCAUGCACAUCCUUUUGACAGUGAUCACAUGGAAGAGGCCUCCGAUGCCCUUGGUCCGGAGAAUGUACGCACGAGCCCUACAACCAGGAAAGAAGCCUGUGGGUCCCCGAGAAGGCAACAUGGAAUGGAGGGUCUGGCCCAGUUGAGAACUAACUUCAAGAAGAUCAUGCCUGUCAGUUCUGAGACUCAUUUUGAAUAGUGGUCAUGACCUCUCCUCGGUUCUGGGGUUUAUGUCCAAUAAAGCUUGGUGUCUGUGUGUGUGCGUGCGUGCACAAGUGCGCUCACAAGGGCUUCCCCUUGUGAAAGGAUUUGAGAACCAACCACCUAUGUCAAGAUAAGCCAGCCCAGGGUGAGGUCUCGCUGCUGCCCUGGUACACACCUUCUGGGACAGAUGCAGUGUUCCAGUUUCCACUCUUUAGUUCUCCAUUGGUUGAAGGAGUUUCCAUGGCCUUCAAAGUGCUGUCAGUUCCCUCGAGGGAAUCUGCUGAGAGACGGCUCAAAGGCCAUGGGAGUAAUGUGUUUUGACAUCUUUCUGUGUUCCUCCUGUGCAACUCCAUAUGGUUGUAGAUUCUUUUAAAAGCAUUUUCCUUUUGAACUCCACAACCUGAUCCUAAAGAUUCUGUGAAGGAAAAAUAAGAUGGGAACAUGUAAUAAAAAAGAAAGAGCAAAGUGGUAGAUCCGGCAUUAUCAGAUAUUAUGCUAUAUAGCCACGGCCAUAAUAAGAAGCUAAUAUUACGUGGGAUUAGCUGGGGGACACAGUGUGCGCCAAGGAACACGCUUAGCAUGACACAAGAGGGGAUACGUGGCAGUCAGCAUUUCAACAUGGGGAAGGAAGACGCCUUCACACACACAACUGGAAAAGAGGAUUUGAUUCAAAUCUCACUUCAUCUAUUACAAUUACAGACCGUUUGAUUAG